rnacentral:rRNA from 1 species
GACGAACGCUGGCGGCGUGCUUAACACAUGCAAGUCGAACGGUGAAGGGACCGGUUUUUGCUGGUUCUGGAUGAGUGGCGAACGGGUGAGUAACACGUGAGUAACCUGCCCCCUUCUUCUGGAUAACCGCAUGAAAGUGUGGCUAAUACGGGAUAUUCUGCGCCUGCUGCAUGGGGGGUGUGGGAAAGAUAUUGUUUCGGUGGGGGAUGGGCUCGCGGCCUAUCAGCUUGUUGGUGGGGUGAUGGCCUACCAAGGCGGUGACGGGUAGCCGGCCUGAGAGGGUGGACGGUCACACUGGGACUGAGACACGGCCCAGACUCCUACGGGAGGCAGCAGUGGGGAAUAUUGCACAGUGGGCGAAAGCCUGAUGCAGCGACGCCGCGUGAGUGAUGGAGGCCUUCGGGUUGUAAACCUCUUUCGCCAGUGAAGCAGGCCUGUCCCUUUUGUGGGUGGGUUGACGGUAGCUGGAUAAGAAGCGCCGGCUAACUACGUG